CCUACGGGAGGCAGCAGUAGGGAAUCUUCCGCAAUGGACGAAAGUCUGACGGAGCAACGCCGCGUGAACGAUGAAGGCCUUCGGGUCGUAAAGUUCUGUUGUUAGGGAAGAACAAGUGCUAGUUGAAUAAGCUGGCACCUUGGCGGUACCUAACCAGAAAGCCACGGCUAACUACGUGCCAGCAGCCGCGGUAAUACGUAGGUGGCAAGCGUUGUCCGGAAUUAUUGGGCGUAAAGCGCGCGCAGGCGGUUUCUUAAGUCUGAUGUGAAAGCCCCCGGCUCAACCGGGGAGGGUCAUUGGAAACUGGGAAACUUGAGUGCAGAAGAGGAAAGUGGAAUUCCAAGUGUAGCGGUGAAAUGCGUAGAGAUUUGGAGGAACACCAGUGGCGAAGGCGACUUUCUGGUCUGUAACUGACGCUGAGGCGCGAAAGCGUGGGGAGCAGACAGGAUUAGAUACCCUGGUAGUCCACGCUGUAAACGAUGAGUGCUAAGUGUUAGAGGGUUUCCGCCCUUUAGUGCUGAAGUUAACGCAUUAAGCACUCCGCCUGGGGAGUACGGUCGCAAGCUGAAACUCAAAGGAUUGACGGNUGAGACGNGCGAGNGACGACGAGGAGAGG
rnacentral:rRNA from 1 species